GUCCCAACAGGAGACACAGGACACCUUCGUCAGGAUAACCGAAGAAAGGGAACUGACAGGUGUGGGUGCGGCGUGGGGGAGCCACGGGGAUGUCGGGGUGAUUUGGCUCCCGGUCAGCCCUAGGUGGAGGUGGGGAAGUGGACAAGAGAGACUGGGUGCAAGAAGCGCUCAGAGAAAGCUAUGCUGAGGAAUAUUUAUUUAUCCAGCCCUGCCACUGAGGUCUUCUGAUUUCCUACUUCCAUUUUCUUCCUUGUGGUGAGGGCUGUUGGCCUUAAAAGUCCCACAUUCAUUUUCCUUUAUGACCUUGGGUACAGCAAGCAGAAGCAGUCUGGAUUCCCAAAGGGCUAGAGGGGUCUUCGGUACUGAAGAAUUCAUCGGAAAUUCCAGGCUGCUUCUCACCUCACUGCUGGCCGGGUAGCUGCCAGCGGCCCCUGGGAAGCCAGAAAGACUGGAUGGGAAAACGGAUGAUCAUAGCCCUGCUUGCACCUGUUGGCUCCCAGGUGCCCUUUGCAUUCAGCCUUCCCUCCAGGACGACCCCUCCAUCAGUUACCAUGGCUGCGGGGUGACCCCUGGGUACCCACCUGUACAUGGAGCCACUGCUUGAUGCCAGAAAACUGCAAGCUAAAUGAAGAUCUGCUUUCCUGCAGUCUAGAAGGGAGUUUGUCAUGUGAAGCAGAAAAACUGGAAACAACCUCAAUGGCUAGGGGGGAAUGGUUGUGCAGAUGAUGGUUCUAGUCUACAAGGGAUAACAGGUGGCCAUUUAAUCACAAAAAAAAUGCAGUGAGUUGGAAAAACACUUAUACCUAUGAUGUUGAAGGAAAAUAUGAAAUCUCAUCUUUGCCAUGAGUAGCACCGUAAGAAUUAUCUGCAUCUGGACAAGGAUAGAAAGGACACCAAACGAGAAAAAAAUGGGGUGAUAAGAUUGCAGGCACAAAUUUUCCUUUUUAAAAUGUAUUCUGAUAUCGACUUCUGCUGUUUGUGCACCUAAAUAAGAAAAUCAUUUAAAGAUCUUGCUUACUGCCCUAAGUCAUGUACUUCCAUGCCACCCCCAAAAUGGGGGGGAAAAACCCGAAGUGCUGGAGUUUGCUAGUCUGG
rnacentral:lncRNA from 1 species